UAUUCAUUUGACCUCAUUACGUCAUCUAAUUUAUUCAUUCUGAAACUUUUCUUUCCACACACAAAAUGGACCUACGAACACUCCGGUUGAGUUUGAAGAACAAGAAAAACAGUAGAGGUCUACCUAUAUGGUUCAAGAUGAUGAUCAUAAGUGCAUGCAUCAUUUUGCAGAUUCUCAUCCAGGAUGAUGCAGUUUUACAAUUUCCAUGGAGGUGAUUGAUGAUGAUAAAUAAUUGGUGAAGUAGGCCUAAUAGAACAGCGACUAGACCACAAAGAGAAAUACAACCUACAGCAGUUAUAUGAGACUGGUGUAACAGAUGUUUUCAUUCAAGAAAUUCAACAAUUCAAGAGUCUGACUUAGGAACCACUUGAUGAAGAUGGAAAAGGUUUUUUUUUCCAAGUCCAAUUUUUCAACAACAAAAAAAAAUUAUUAUCACAACCCCAAAUUCAUGACGUAUGAAAUUUCUUGUUGAUUUUCAUUAAAACUGGUUGCAAAAGGAGAAGCUAUAAACAUACAAAUAGGAGCGGCGGAGUGAAGUUGAAAGUGGGGGGGGGGGGGCAUAGGGAAAAUGCUGUAUUACGUGACAUUUUUAAGAAGUUGCGAGCGAGCAAAAUUUUGACAUUUUAAAAAAGAAAAUCUAAAAUAUUGAGAAUGAUAUAUGUAUAUAUAUUUUUUUUUUUUUUUGGGGGGGGGGGCAAGAGUCCUUCAAGCCCCCCUUCCAUCUGUACGAAACUGCUUAUAUACCCCCACUCAUGAAUUAUUAAACUUAAUGCACAAAGGAUAAGUAUAUUAUCGAAAUGAGAAUAUUGUUUUCUUGUUUCAAAGGGCAAUCGUCAUGGUGGCCAUAAAACGGGUCCUUCUCAGGUGAAAGGGGCACAGAACAAGUUUUUUAGGAGCACUUUUCUUGGGUAAAAGGGGGCAGUGAUUCGAGAAAGGGCACUUACAAGAAGGCGAGGGGGCACUCUUUAACACAUGAAACGGGCCCUCAGAUGAAAGGGCACAGAACACGUUCCAGGGGGGGGGCAUUUUGGGGUUAAAAAAUUGCAUACAAGGAAGAACACUUGGUAACACCUAAAACAGGUUCUCGUCAGGUGAAAGGGACACAGUACACGUUCGUGAGGGGGCAUUUUUCUUGCAUAAAAAGGCACUUUUCAGUGCUUAAAGAAGUAGAGGGAACUGUGCUCCCCCCCCCCCCCCUCCCCAGGAUCGCUGCCCCAGCAUACAAAAAAAAUAUUCUUUUGGUUCAAAGUAUUAACAUACGCUUAAGAAAAAGGUAAAGCUUAAUCCUCUGAUAAUGUGAUAUUUUUUUAUGGCUAAUUAAUAAAAUUCACCACUAACCAG